rnacentral:rRNA from 1 species
GAUGAACGCUGGCGGUAUGCUUAACACAUGCAAGUCGAACGAAGUCUUCGGACUUAGUGGCGGACGGGUGAGUAACGCGUAAGAAUCUACCUAUAGGUUCGGGACAACAGUUAGAAAUGACUGCUAAUACCGGAUAUGCCGAGAGGUGAAAGUUUUAAUGCCUGUAGAUGAGCUUGCGUUCGAUUAGCUAGAUGGUGGGGUAAUAGCCUACCAUGGCGACGAUCGAUAACUGGUCUGAGAGGAUGACCAGUCACACUGGGACUGAGACACGGCCCAGACUCCUACGGGAGGCAGC